CAAGGAUGUGCCGUCCAGAACAGCGCUAUCAGGACCAGUGACGCUUGGGAUCGUUUUAGAUGUAGUAGGGUCCGAGCCAGUAGAUAGAAGGGAGGAAAUGCACAGAGUCGUUUUUUCAGCCAAGGUUGGAGGAAAGGCAUCCACCGCUACGGCGUCUGGGUUUAUCCAGCUAAAGAAUGACGGGAGUUGAGAAUUCAACUGGGAGGCAAAAAGGGUCGAUAUGCAUGGGGCCCCAGAGUUGUUGGAGCCACAGGAAUAUUGUGCAGUUCAGUCGCCAGGCGCUGUUGUCGUGCAGAUAUCUGGAAUUCCAAUCUGCU